GUGCCAGCAGCCGCGGUAAUACGAAGGGGCUAGCGUUGUUCGGAAUUACUGGGCGUAAAGCGCACGUAGGCGGACUAUUAAGUCAGGGGUGAAAUCCCGGGGCUCAACCUCGGAACUGCCUUUGAUACUGGUAGUCUCGAGUCCGAGAGAGGUGAGUGGAAUUCCGAGUGUAGAGGUGAAAUUCGUAGAUAUUCGGAGGAACACCAGUGGCGAAGGCGGCUCACUGGCUCGGUACUGACGCUGAGGUGCGAAAGCGUGGGAGCAAACAGGAUUAGAUACCCUGGUAGUCCACGCCGUAAACGAUGGAAGCUAGCCGUCGGCAAGUUUACUGUCGGUGCGCAGCUAACGCAUUAAGCUUCCCGCUGGGAGUACGGUCGCAAGAUUAAAACUCAAAGG
rnacentral:rRNA from 1 species